rnacentral:tRNA from 1 species
GGGGUUGUGGCUCAGUGGUACAGCGCUCGCCUUGUGUGUGAGAGACCUUGGGUUUGAUCCUCAGCACCACA